ACAGACAGAGGAAGAUAUUCAAGUGUUUUCCAUUAUUUGUGACUUUAAUAUGACAUAUCUCACUUUUACAUUUGAAUGAAACGGUGUAAUGCUCCAAACAGUUACUAUAUGAAACACAGAGACACUUUACAUCGUCCUGACUUUUUGAUUGGCAAUUGGUAUCUUAAUUAUUUCUUUUAAUAGUUGCACAUAAUGACUAUCGUGAAUCAUUUUUAAACGUUUUGAAGGUUAGAAUGUUGAUAUUAUAUUAGUUGAUUGGUCCUUAUAUCUUGCAUGCUGAAAAAACCAUUUGAAUGAUUAUAUAGUGUUUUGUUAAUCAGCAAAAAAAUAUUUUAAGGUAAGAUGGGACGGGAAAAAAAUAGGCCUCUAUAAAAUUGGAUAUAAAGGACGUUUUGAAGUGAAGUUAAUUGAUAAUUAUUCAAACGAAGACCAUGAAAUAGGGUGUGUGGAAACGGAUAGGUAUGGUCAUAGUGAAGAAAUGUUUAAAGAAGCAACAACUGGAAAAUACCAAAAUGCUCCAUAUUCAAUGAAUGCUAAUAACCGCGGUCCAGAAGACUAUGUUAUUCCAAUAUAUUCCGAAACAUCAAUAAGUGCUAUUUGGGAACACCAGAAAGGUUCACAAUGGACGAAAUAUCCAUCCGGAGUAAAUUUAAGGAUUGAAAAGGCAUAUCAAAGGAAUAAAACAGGAAAAACCAUCAUCCAAAUAGACCACAC